rnacentral:rRNA from 1 species
AACGAACGCUGGCGUCAUGCCUAACACAUGCAAGUCGAACGAAGCCUUCGGGCUUAGUGGCGCACGGGUGCGUAACGCGUGGGAAUCUGCCCCUUGCUUCGGAAUAACAGUUAGAAAUGACUGCUAAUACCGGAUGAAGUCUUCGGACCAAAGAUUUAUCGGCAAGGGAUGAGCCCGCGUAGGAUUAGGUAGUUGGUGGGGUAAAGGCCUACCAAGCCGACGAUCCUUAGCUGGUCUGAGAGGAUGAUCAGCCACACUGGGACUGAGACACGGCCCAGACUCCUACGGGAGGCAGCAGUGGGGAAUAUUGGACAAUGGACGCAAGUCUGAUCCAGCAAUGCCGCGUGAGUGAUGAAGGCCUUAGGGUUGUAAAGCUCUUUUACCAGGGAUGAUAAUGACAGUACCUGGAGAAUAAGCUCCGGCUAACUCCGUG